rnacentral:rRNA from 1 species
CCUACGGGAGGCAGCAGUGAGGAAUAUUGGUCAAUGGCCGGAAGGCUGAACCAGCCAUGCCGCGUGAAGGUCAGUGCCCUAUGGGCGUUAAACUUCUUUUGUGCGGGAGCAAUAAUGGUCACGUGUGGCCAGACGAGAGUGCCGUACGAAUAAGCAUCGGCUAACUCCGUGCCAGCAGCCGCGGUAAUACGGGGGUUGCAAGCGGUAUCCGGAUUUAUUGGGGUACAAGGGUGCGUAGGCUGUGAGGUAAGUCAGCGGUGAAAAGCCCCCGCUCAACGGGGUGAAGUGCCUUUGAUACUGCCUUGCUGGAAUGCGGAUGCGGUGAGAGGAAUGUGUGGUGUAGCGGUGAAAUGCAUAGAUAUCACACAGAACACCGAUUGCGAAGGCAUCUCACGAAUCCGCGAUUGACGCUGAUGCACGAAAGCGUGGGUAUCAAACAGGAUUAGAUACCCCUGUAGUC